rnacentral:tRNA from 1 species
GGCUCCUUAGCUCAGCUGGUUAGAGCGUUCGAUUCACAUUCGAGAGGUCGCUGGUUCGAGCCCAGCAGGAGCCA